GACGAACGCUGGCGGCGUGCUUAACACAUGCAAGUCGAACGGAAAGGCCCUGCUUUUGUGGGGUGCUCGAGUGGCGAACGGGUGAGUAACACGUGAGUAACCUGCCCUUGACUUUGGGAUAACUUCAGGAAACUGGGGCUAAUACCGGAUAGGAGCUCCUGCUGCAUGGUGGGGGUUGGAAAGUUUCGGCGGUUGGGGAUGGACUCGCGGCUUAUCAGCUUGUUGGUGGGGUAGUGGCUUACCAAGGCUUUGACGGGUAGCCGGCCUGAGAGGGUGACCGGCCACAUUGGGACUAAGAUAAGGCACAGACUCCUACGGGGGGCAGCAGUGGGGAAUAUUGCACAAUGGGCGGAAGCCUGAUGCAGCAGCGCCGGGUGCGGGAUGACGGCCUUCGGGUUGGAAACCGCUUUCGCCUGUGACGAUGCGUGAGUGACGGUAAUGGGUAAAGAAGCACCGGCUAACUACGUG
rnacentral:rRNA from 1 species